UACGGAGGGGGCUAGCGUUGUUCGGAAUUACUGGGCGUAAAGCGCGCGUAGGCGGACCUGCAAGUCGGGGGUGAAAGCCCGAGGCUCAACCUCGGAACUGCCUUCGAUACUGCGGGUCUCGAGUCCGGGAGAGGUGAGUGGAAUUCCUAGUGUAGAGGUGAAAUUCGUAGAUAUCAGGAGGAACACCGGUGGCGAAGGCGGAUCUCUGGGCCUGUCCUGACGCUCAGGCGCGAAAGCUAGGGGAGCAAACAGG
rnacentral:rRNA from 1 species